GGCCAAGUUUUUAAGGGCGCACGGUGGAUGCCUUGGCACCAGGAACCGAUGAAGGACGUGGGAGGCCGCGAUAGGCCCCGGGGAGCUGUCAACCGAGCUGUGAUCCGGGGGUGUCCGAAUGGGGAAACCCGGCAGUCGUCAUGGGCUGUCACCCGCUGCUGAACACAUAGGCAGUGUGGAGGGAACGCGGGGAAGUGAAACAUCUCAGUACCCGCAGGAAGAGAAAACAACCGUGAUUCCGGGAGUAGUGGCGAGCGAAACUGGAUGAGGCCAAACCGUAUGCGUGUGAUACCCGGCAGGGGUUGCGUAUGCGGGGUUGUGGGAUCUCUCUUCUGUCGUCUGCCGGCGGCAGGACGAGUCAGAAACCGUUGAUGUAGGCGAAGGACAUGCGAAAGGUCCGGCGUAGAGGGUAAGACCCCCGUAGUCGAAACGUCAGCGGCUCGUUUGAGAGACACCCAAGUAGCACGGGGCCCGAGAAAUCCCGUGUGAAUCUGGCGGGACCACCCGUUAAGCCUAAAUAUUCCCUGGUGACCGAUAGCGGAUAGUACCGUGAGGGAAUGGUGAAAAGUACCGCGGGAGCGGAGUGAAAUAGUACCUGAAACCGUGUGCCUACAAGCCGUGGGAGCGUCGCAUCGAGUGCUUGCACUCGGUGUCGUGACUGCGUGCCUUUUGAAGAAUGAGCCUGCGAGUUUGCGGUGUGUUGCGAGGUUAACCCGUGUGGGGAAGCCGUAGCGAAAGCGAGUCCGAAGAGGGCGACCUAGUAGCGCGCCCAAGACCCGAAGCGGGGUGAUCUAGCCAUGGGCAGGUUGAAGCGGAGGUAAGACUUCGUGGAGGACCGAACCCACCAGGGUUGAAAACCUGGGGGAUGACCUGUGGUUAGGGGUGAAAGGCCAAUCAAACUCCGUGAUAGCUGGUUCUCCCCGAAAUGCAUUUAGGUGCAGCGUCGUGUGUUUCUUGCCGGAGGUAGAGCACUGGAUAGGCGAUGGGCCCUACCGGGUUACUGACCUUAGCCAAACUCCGAAUGCCGGUAAGUGAGAGCGCGGCAGUGAGACUGUGGGGGAUAAGCUCCAUGGUCGAGAGGGAAACAGCCCAGAGCAUCGACUAAGGCCCCUAAGCGUACGCUAAGUGGGAAAGGAUGUGGAGUCGCAGAGACAACCAGGAGGUUGGCUUAGAAGCAGCCACCCUUGAAAGAGUGCGUAAUAGCUCACUGGUCAAGUGAUUCCGCGCCGACAAUGUAGCGGGGCUCAAGCGUACCGCCGAAGUCGUGUCACUGCAGCAUGAGACCUAACGGUUGUUGUGGUGGGUAGGGGAGCGUCGUGUGCCGGGUGAAGCAGCGCCGGAAGGUAGUUGUGGACGGUUCACGAGUGAGAAUGCAGGCAUGAGUAGCGAUACACACGUGGGAAACGUGUGCGCCGAUUGACUAAGGGUUCCUGGGUCAAGCUGAUCUGCCCAGGGUAAGUCGGGACCUAAGGCGAGGCCGACAGGCGUAGUCGAUGGACAACCGGUUGAUAUUCCGGUACCCGCUUUGAAGCGCCAAACAUCGAAUCCUCUGAUGCUAAGCCCGUGAAGCCGCCCUGAGCUCUUCGGAGUGUAGGGGAGUGGUGGAGCCGGUGACCCGAGUGGUAGUAGGUGAGUGAUGGGGUGACGCAGGAAGGUAGUCCAGCCCGGGCGGUGGUUGUCCCGGGGUAAGGGUGUAGGCCGUGUGAUAGGCAAAUCCGUCACACAUGGGGCUGAGACCUGAUGCCGAGCCGAUUGUGGCGAAGUGGAUGAUCCUAUGCUGUCGAGAAAAGCCUCUAGCGAGUUUCAUGGCGGCCCGUACCCUAAACCGACUCAGGUGGUCAGGUAGAGAAUACCGAGGCGUUCGGGUGAACUAUGGUUAAGGAACUCGGCAAAAUGCCCCCGUAACUUCGGGAGAAGGGGGGCCAUUCCUGGUGAUGAGUUUUGCACUCGGAGCUGGGGGUGGCCGCAGAGACCAGCGAGAAGCGACUGUUUACUAAAAACACAGGUCCGUGCGAAGCCGUAAGGCGAUGUAUACGGACUGACGCCUGCCCGGUGCUGGAACGUUAAGGGGACC
rnacentral:ncRNA from 1 species